rnacentral:lncRNA from 1 species
GCAAUUCUCCAGGGAGCAGCUACAUGUUUCUACGCAUUUGUUGGUUUUGCUGGCAUUGUCAGUGCAGGGAGAAGAGCCAGCCGUCCUCAGUGGUCCAUGCCCUUGGCUGUCGUCAUCUCCUUCUUCAUCUGCUUUUUGGUGUGCUUUGGUGUCUCCGUGGCCCUCACCCUCAUGGUGCCCUACUACCUGAUUCAGCUCGAGAGCCCCUUGCCACAGGCUUUCAUCUAUGUCGGGUGGGACUCUGCCAAAUAUGUCGUGGCUGUUGGCACCCUCUGCAUUCUUUUAUACAGCGGUCAUGGCGUUACUCUUCGACUUCACUACCUGGUGGACCUCAUGUCGUUUCAGUCCCUGCUCGCUUACUCCCUGGUGACAUUUUCUGUCCUUGUCCUCAGGUGAGACCCCAUGACACCUGGACUGGGCCGAAGGUCUUUGACUUGUAAGGGUUGAUGGGGAGGGAAUCAUCUUCCACCUUCAUGCUGCCUCUUCAAUGUCCUGCUACCAUUGAUUGGGGAAAGAGAGGCAUUAGACAGACUGAUGUUGGAUCAGCAGUAGGGCUGUUACUACUAUUGCUUUAAUAUUUCUAAUUCAGGUAUCAACCAGCCCAGAAUGGAAGCCAGGAGAAAACAGAGGAGGAAACUGAGACAAACCCUGAAGUUGAAGGAGGUCCUUUGGAAUCUGAACCUGAAGCAGGAAUCUCAGGCAUUCCAAAGAGUCUGUGGUUCUCUCCCAGCACCACCCCACCUGGAAAUCUGGCCAGAUGUCUAUGGAUGUGCCUCCCUGCUUGGUGAGCAGUGGGAUUUCUCCUUGGUCAUAUUCUGAAAUUGACAGGGUGGUACUGGAUUUGUAUUUUGUCAGUUGAGGAGUCUUGGAGAUAUGAUGGCCCCUCCUGAUGUGGGCAGCCUGGGGAGGGAUGUGACCCAAGGUCCUGACAUCUUUGUCUUCUGGGUCCAG